rnacentral:rRNA from 1 species
GAUGAACGCUGGCGGCGUGCCUAAUACAUGCAAGUCGAGCGAAUGGAUUAAGAGCUUGCUCUUAUGAAGUUAGCGGCGGCCGGGUGAGUAACACGUGGGUAACCUGCCCAUAAGACUGGGAUAACUCCGGGAAACCGGGGCUAAUACCGGAUAACAUUUUGAACCGCAUGGUUCGAAAUUGAAAGGCGGCUUCGGCUGUCACUUAUGGAUGGACCCGCGUCGCAUUAGCUAGUUGGUGAGGUAACGGCUCACCAAGGCAACGAUGCGUAGCCGACCUGAGGGGGUGAUCGGCCACACUGGGACUGAGACACGGCCCAGACUCCUACGGGAGGCAGCAGUAGGGAAUCUUCCGCAAUGGACGAAAGUCUGACGGAGCAACGCCGCGUGAGUGAUGAAGGCUUUCGGGUCGUAAAACUCUGUUGUUAGGGAAGAACAAGUGCUAGUUGAAUAAGCUGGCACCUCGACGGUACCUAACCAGAAAGCCACGGCUAACUACGUGCCAGCAGCCGCGGUAA